GCAAGGACCCGGCGGAUGGAAAGGCGAGACUAGCACGCACCUGCGCUAGAUGUUCGUUUUCAGUAGACAGGGCUUCCGCCUCUCCAUUGCCCUCCCGGAGCGAGACGCCCGCGGCUGGAUGCAAACCAGAGGUCCCUACAACUCCGGCUGGCGAACCGCAGGUGGGAGCUCUCGGCUGCCAGGCUCCGGACAGGCCCCCCAGCUCACCCCACUUCAGCUUCGUGGCCGCAAGAGGUCAAACAGGAGAAUAAGCUUAUCUGUGAAGAGAUACACAAGCGGCAGACUGGAAGGGAGAUUCCACCGUAUUUGUAGUAGUUACAGAAAAUUUCAAACAUAAGCAAAGCCAAUGCACUAAAAGCAGUCAAAAAACAAUAAACACAAAAAAGAGAUGAUAUUUGCGUGGAGACCCGAAUAAUCUGAAGGAGGCUUAUGCAAGAAAAUGUGGUGGGAGUCUGUGCGGAAAAGAUGAGGCAAAGGCUGGAGGGAUCCAAGAGCGUGUAAGAGACUGAAUGAG
rnacentral:lncRNA from 1 species